ncrna:unclassified sequences RAGATH-18 RNA
UCUGUGGACUGUUAUACAAACAAGAUUAGAUAGACAAUGAACUUCUACGAAGUUCAUUGUCGUUGAAAUUGGACAGGUUGAAGCAGAAA